UGGGGAAUAUUGGACAAUGGGCGGAAGCCUGAUCCAGCAACGCCGCAUGAGGGAUGACGGCCUUCGGGUUGUAAACCUCUUUCAGCACAGACGAAGCGCAAGUGACGGUAUGUGCAGAAGAAGGACCGGCCAACUACGUGCCAGCAGCCGCGGUAAUACGUAGGGUCCGAGCGUUGUCCGGAAUUAUUGGGCGUAAAGGGCUCGUAGGCGGUUUGUCGCGUCGGGAGUGAAAACACCGGGCUUAACUCGGUGCUUGCUUUCGAUACGGGCAGACUAGAGGCAUUCAGGGGAGAACGGAAUUCCUGGUGUAGCGGUGAAAUGCGCAGAUAUCAGGAGGAACACCGGUGGCGAAGGCGGUUCUCUGGGAAUGUCCUGACGCUGAGGAGCGAAAGUGUGGGGAGCGAACAGGAUUAGAUACCCUGGUAGUCCACACCGUAAACGUUGGGCGCUAGGUGUGGGAUCCAUUCCACGGGUUCCGUGCCGCAGCUAACGCAUUAAGCGCCCCGCCUGGGGAGUACGGCCGCAAGGCUAAAACUCAAAUGAAUUGACGGGGUCAUAGCUGUUUCCU
rnacentral:rRNA from 1 species